AUCCUGCGCGGCGUCUCCUUGGGGGAGCGGCCUGAGCGGGACCCCACCCAAAUAGACAACCCGGGAGCGGGGGAGGGGGUCUCGAUCGGCCUCUCUCCCUCCCUCCCACCUACCCAGCCCACAAACAAGUCCCUUACCUCCCCCGCCCCUCUAAGCCCAACCAGCGAGGCCGGCCGGCCUUCCACGCACCAGCCCCGCCAGGCCUGGACACCCAUUUCCCUCCAACUCGCCACUUCACUAACGACCAGGCAGGUCUUCAAAAGCCCUGAAAUGAAACAGGCUAGUGAAACAAUCAUGAAACCAUUUUUCACCAUGGCAUAUAGAAGCAGUAACCAAAAUUGUGUCCUCUAGAUGGUUGUACUACAGCCAUCUAGCAUGCCAAUGGUCAAGCACUCUCCAUGCUUGCGAUUCCCAGCAACUGGUAGCCAGUUCUUCAUCACUUCUUUCAACCUGUAUAGUAGACCAACUGGAUAAGAUUGCACAGAAGCUUGAAGUUUGGUGGAGGGCAUUGUGAUGUUCCUGUAUUAAUGUAAAUAUGCCAGGUACAGGACAACAUACCAUUGUCAAAUAAACAAGUUGCUGUUAACAGCCAUUCUGAAGAAGCAUUCUGGUGAAUUUGGGAGCAUGCUGAUUGCUCAGCAAGAUGCAAUGUAAUAUUGUGCCUCUUGAGGAGGAAAGUCCAGCAACACAAGCCUCUUUUGUAAAAGAUCCCUAUCCUAAUAAAGCCCUGUUGGACCUGCAGCUCAAUCCAGCAGGACGAUUUUCUCUCCGUUUUAUAACACUUUGUAAUCACAUGCAAUAAGCUUCAUAGUUUCCUCAUCUGAGUGCCAGACCAGCCUUUCUGGGAACUGCAUUCAACAGCAGUGAGCCACCACAGAGAAUGUCCUCUCUUCAGUCACCACCCAAUUCACCGCAGAAGGCAGAGGCACCUGAAGGAGAAAGCCUCUAAAGCCAAUUUCAUUCCACAGGCAAGCUGACCUGCAAAAAGCAUCCAGCUCCCAAACCUGUAGGGUUUUAAAUGGCAAGCACGAGCACUUUGAAUCUUGCUUCAAAAUGAUCCAGGAGCCAGUGAAACAGUUUAAGCACCAUCAAGAUGUUUUCAUGACCGCUGGGCCUGGUGGGAAAACUAGAAGCUGUGUUAAGCAAAUAUGGCUAGGUGCUUCAUAAAUGACAGAGAAGUCACGCUUUGGAAUUAUAUGACCUUGCUCCCUUCCAAGUUCCACCUUCCGUCACUCCUCUGCUGCGAAGACUCAGAUCCUGUUUUGUGCAAACAAUAGUUUGCUGGUUCAGCCAUAACUGCAAAUGUGCUAAAUGGGAAGUGAGGGAGGGACUGAGCUGAGGAGCCCAAGACUGACCAGUUACAAAACCAUUGUUUGACAUUACAUAUGAACUGAGCCAUGUCUGUUCGCUUCACAUGUAGUUACAAGAACAGAUGUGUUGCAUACAGAAGGUAUCAGAUACAGUCCCCAGGAUCUAUAGAAAGGGCUGAGAAAGACCACCUAAAGCCCCAGAGAGCUGCUGCCAGUCAGUAUAGCCAAAUGGGGAACCUUUUUCAGCAUGAUGGCCGUAUUUCUUUGUGGGCAAUUUUCUGGGAGCUGUGUAGCAGGUGGAACCACAGACAGAAGUUGAGCAGGCCAACCAAUUUGACUAUUACCUUUCCAUAGUAAGCCGUAUUCCAGCCAUGCAGAAGCCAAGAGGUUUCUUCUAUUUACCACCCACUCUUCUCCACCUACUCAAGCAAGAGGUAUCACUACCACAGUUAAAUGAGAUUCCCGACAGACAAAAGCACCCAAAGAGGGCAAGUGGCUGGAAGAAUCCCAAGGACGGAGGGGGGGGGGAGAGAGCGCACCCUGGACGAGGGCAGAGUCCACCUACAGGUAGGAGGGUCCUUGCCCCCUUGCUUAGGCAGUAGUCAAUUAGACUGACCAAUAACCUGACUCUACAGCUGCCUGUGUUUCUAGCUGUUAGAAUUCCAAGGAAGGAAACAGCACACCUUUUCACCCACAAGCCUGCCCUUCAUUGUACCUCCUUCUGCAUUAUGGUAGAUAUUGGUAAGCCUGCUAUCCAAGGGAAACACGUACUCAAAGGCGACUGUGCAUAAUUUAUCCAGUUUAAUGAAGUCCUGUUGCAGAUGUUACAGCAGAGUUCCCCUUUUUAGGAAGUACAUAGCUACGGGUGUUGCUAGUGUCAGUCAAACCCCAGCCUAUCCGAAUAAAUACAACUGCUCUCAGCUCAGCUGGGUAAAAGGCUUGGCAGAUUUAAGAGUGUUCCUACACAACACAAAAGUGGCAUAUUUUCAAUUACGACCUCAAGCAACUCCCCUCAAUUUCUAAGAGGUUUGGACUACAAACUAAAAAAAAAUUCAGAGGAAAUACAAUGCUUCUCCAGAAAGAAUCCAGAUCUUGAUGCAAGUGGAAUGUGAGAACAAGUCCCUAAACUGGGAUAAUAAUGCCACUGAGGAGUGUCUGGGCUUGCUGUGAUCUCAUCAUAGUAGCUUUCUAACAGAUUCCCUGAUAAAUAACCCCUUUCAAACAAUUACUUUUGGUGCCCUCAGAUUCAUUUUUAUAUACUUGGAUUUAGUAGUUUGUAAACUGUACUCUCUGCCUAGAUGAAAAUCUCCCAUCACGCACACACCAAUAUUGCACUCUGCUCAUCCUAGCUUCAGAGGAAUGAGGGAAAGAGAAAAGGAGAAGAACCUAUGAGGACAGAGCAUAUAACAAAGCAAGAGGAACCAGUGCAAAAAUAGGAUUGUUUCAAAAAAAAUAAGCAGAGUAGUUUUUCUAUAGGAGACAGAGACACUGACCAUUUAGCUUUUAAAAUGACCAGAGUCCCUCUAUAAUGCAUGUGCACAAAACUUUUUCUUUAAAAAAGGAUACAUUUUUGCUACAAAAUUUGAUCAGAAAAAGAAAAAAGCUCAGCAAACAAUGUGUCAGUUGCUAGUACAUUUGGUGUACUUAGACAAGUCUGAUAAAAAUCUGGUAUUACAUAUAGCCUGUGGCAAACUGCAUCAAGUGAACUUGGUAGGCCUAUAUUAAAUUGGGGAUACAUUUUUUUCCUUUUCAAAGCAAAAAAUACAUGUGCUGGUGGUAGCCUGAAUAGAUUUUUUUUUUAAAAAAACUACAAUACUCAAGGUACCCUACAAAAUUAGCAGAAUGCCACCAAUACCAACAUCUUAUCCUCUGACUCUGGUUCGUUCAGUGCGGGACAGUGUUCAUUAGUAUACCUGCUCCUAUACAAAGUGUACACUUUUUAAAAAUCAUCAGGGCCUUAACUUGUUCUACCCCUUUGCGCACCUGCAACGCUUACCACUAAGUGUAGCGUGCCCAGAAGGCACUGGUGCUUAUCAGGCAAACAAGUAACAUUUCACAUUGCCAAAGCAUGACCCACACAAGCCUACACAUGCACAGCUAUCUUAGAUUAUGAAGGGGCAUUAGAGCAGCCGUGCUCAGGUAGCAAGUAGAAGAGACUGGAUGUAUGCUUAAAAUGCAGGUGCUAGAAGGGGUUAGAAAAUCCCCCAGGUUCGUUUAAGCCACCUCCCCUUU